rnacentral:rRNA from 1 species
GGAAUAUUGCACAAUGGGGGAAACCCUGAUGCAGCGACGCCGCGUUAGUGAAGAAGUAUUUCGGUAUGUAAAGCUCUAUCAGCAGGGAAGAAAAUGACGGUACCUGACUAAGAAGCCCCGGCGAACUACGUGCCAGCAGCCGCGGUAAUACGUAGGCGGCAAGCGUUAUCCGGAUUUACUGGGAGUAAAGGGAGCGUAGACGGCCAGACAAGUCAGAAGUGAAAACCCGCGGCUCAACUGCGGGAGUGCUUUUGAAACUGUUUGGCUGGAGUGCAGGAGAGGUAAGUGGAAUUCCUAGUGUAGCGGUGAAAUGCGUAGAGAUUAGGAGGAACACCAGUGGCGAAGGCGGCUUACUGGACUGUAACUGACGUUGAGGCUCGAAAGCGUGGGGAGCAAA